rnacentral:rRNA from 1 species
AUAUCAAUAAGCGGAGGAAAAGAAACCAACAGGGAUUGCCCCAGUAACGGCGAGUGAAGCGGCAAUAGCUCAAAUUUGAAAUCCGGUCCCCCCCCUUUGGCGGGACCCGAGUUGUAAUUUAUAGAGGAUGCUUCGGAUCAGGCGACGGCCUAAGUCCCUUGGAAUAGGGCGCCAGAGAGGGUGAGAGCCCCGUCCCGGGCUACGAGCCGCGUCCAGGUGAAGCUCCCUCGACGAGUCGCGUUGUUUGGGAAUGCAGCGCUAAAUGGGUGGUAAAUUUCAUCUAAAGCUAAAUAUUGGGCAGAGACCGAUAGCGCACAAGUAGAGUGAUCGAAAGAUGAAAAGUACUUUGAAAAGAGAGUUAAAUAGUACGUGAAAUUGUUGAAAGGGAAGCGCUUGCAGCCAGACUUGGUCGGCGGUCAUUCAGCCGUUGGUCUCCAGCGGUGUACUUGAUCGUCUCCAGGCCAGCACCGGUUUGGGCAGCCAGAGAAGAGCGCCGGGAACGUACCGUCCCUUUACUCUUACCCCUUUAUUGGUAUCCCCCCGUAUUGGGGCUAAGGGUCGGACUUAUAGCCCGGCGCAUGAUACGGCUGGCCCGGACCGAGGACCCCGCGCGGUCACGCCGUUGUCUGAUUACUUUUCUCACCCUGAGAAUACCCCCUUUUUUAGGCGUGUGAUGUCCCGCAAGGGUGCUGGCGAAACGGCUAUAAGCGACCCGUCUUGAAACACGGACCAAGGAGUCUAACAUCUGUGCGAGUGUUCGGGUGAAGAAACCCCGGCGCGUAAUGAAAGUGAACGGAAGGUAGGAUGCCCCCUUUUAGCCGAUCGGGGGUUGCACUAUCGGCCGAUCCGGAUGACAAGCGGAUGGAUUUGAGCAAGAGCAUAGCUGUUGGGACCCGAAAGAUGGCGAACUAUGCGUGUAUAGGGUGAAGUCAGUGGAAACAUUGAUGGAGGCUCGCAGCGGUUCUGACGUGCAAAUCGAUCGUCAAAUAUGCGUAUAGGGGCGAAAGACUAAUCGAGCCGUCUGGUAGCUGGUUCCCGU